CAGCCGCCGCGGUAAUACAGAGGGUGCAAGCGUUAAUCGGAAUUACUGGGCGUAAAGCGCGCGUAGGUGGUUUGUUAAGUUGGAUGUGAAAUCCCCGGGCUCAACCUGGGAACUGCAUCCAAAACUGGCAGGCUAGAGUAGGGCAGAGGGUGGUGGAAUUUCCUGUGUAGCGGUGAAAUGCGUAGAUAUAGGAAGGAACACCAGUGGCGAAGGCGACCACCUGGGCUCAUACUGACACUGAGGUGCGAAAGCGUGGGGAGCAAACAGGAUUAGAUACCCCUGUAGUCCCUGUCUCUUAUAC
rnacentral:rRNA from 1 species